GAUGAACGCUAGCGGCAGGCCUAACACAUGCAAGUCGAGGGGUAGAGGAAGCUUGCUUCCUUGAGACCGGCGCACGGGUGCGUAACGCGUAUGCAAUCUACCUUUUACAGAGGGAUAGCCCAGAGAAAUUUGGAUUAAUACCUCAUAGUAUAUAUCAUUCGCCUGUUUGAUAUAUUAAAGUUCCAACGGUAAAAGAUGAGCAUGCGUCCCAUUAGUUAGUUGGUAAGGUAACGGCUUACCAAGACGAUGAUGGGUAGGGGUCCUGAGAGGGAGAUCCCCCACACUGGUACUGGGACACGGACCAGACUCCUACGGGAGGCAGCGGUGAGGAAUAUUGGUCAAUGGACGCAAGUCUGAACCAGCCAUGCCGCGUGCAGGAAGACGGUCCUAUGGAUUGUAAACUGCUUUUGUACGGGAAGAAACACUCCUACGUGUAGGAGCCUGACGGUACCGUAAGAAUAAGGAUCGGCUAACUCCGUGCCAGCCGCCGCCGUAACAC
rnacentral:rRNA from 1 species